GUUACUCUGGCGGAGUGGUUAACGCGCUGCCUUUUUUGCUUGGCGCGUAGGUUCGAAUCCUACAGGUGACA